rnacentral:sRNA from 1 species
AAAGAAAGCCGGACUCUUUCCUUAUAACUGAGCUCAGCCAAGGAAACUCUUGCACAAAUGUACAAUACUGUUUGGAAUAUGGAAGACCUGGAUUUAGAAUAUGCCAAGACAGAUAUAAAUUGUGGCACAGACUUGAUGUUUUAUAUAGAAAUGGACCCACCAGCACUGCCUCCUAAACCACCAAAACCCACUACUGUAGCCAACAACGGUAUGAAUAACAAUAUGUCCUUACAAGAUGCUGAAUGGUACUGGGGAGAUAUCUCGAGGGAAGAAGUGAAUGAAAAACUUCGAGAUACAGCAGACGGGACCUUUUUGGUACGAGAUGCGUCUACUAAAAUGCAUGGUGAUUAUACUCUUACACUAAGGUAAGCCAGGGAAUAUAGCUGAAAUUAGGGUUUUGGGCUGAUAUUAAAACAUAUUUCCUUAUUCCAAAAUGUUAAUACCUUUAUUUUUAUUUUGUUUUUACAGGAAAGGGGGAAAUAACAAAUUAAUCAAAAUAUUUCAUCGAGAUGGGAAAUAUGGCUUCUCUGACCCAUUAACCUUCAAUUCUGUGGUUGA